rnacentral:rRNA from 1 species
CCUACGGGAGGCAGCAGUGGGGAAUAUUGCGCAAUGGGCGAAAGCCUGCCGCAGCGACGCCGCGUGAGGGAUGAAGGUCUUCGGAUCGUAAACCUCUGUCAGCAGGGAAGAACGGUCACUGUGCUAAUCAGCAGUGAAUUGCCGGUACCUGCAAAGGAAGCACCGGCUAACUCCGUGCCAGCAGCCGCGGUAAUACGGAGGAUCCGAGCGUUAUCCGGAUUUAUUGGGUUUAAAGGGAGCGUAGGUGGAGUGUUAAGUCAGUUGUGAAAGUUUGCGGCUCAACCGUAAAAUUGCAGUUGAAACUGGCAGUCUUGAGUACAGUAGAGGUGGGCGGAAUACGUGGUGUAGCGGUGAAAUGCUUAGAGAUCAUACAGAACACCGAUUGCGAAGGCAGCUUACCAAGCUACUUCUGACGUUGAGGCACGAAAGCGUGGGGAGCAAACAGGAUUAGAUACCCGGGUAGUC